rnacentral:rRNA from 1 species
AUGGAUGUGAAGAGUGCAUUUCUUAAUGGUCCUUUGAAUGAGUUGGUGUAUGUCAAACAACCUCCAGGAUUCAAGGAUCCCAAGUUCCCCACUCAUGUAUACAAACUCAAAAAGGCACUUUAUGGCCUUAAGCAAGCCCCAUGUGCGUGGUAUGAGCACCUUACCAAGUUGUUACAAGAUCGUGGGUUUGAAAUUGGGAAAAUCAAUCCCACUCUUUUUACUAAGAGGAUCAAAGGGGAUUUGUUCAUAUGCCAACUAUAUGUUGAUGAUAUUAUUUUUGGUUCUCCUAACAAAUCUUUCAAUGAUGAGUUUGCCGCACUAAUGGCCGAGAAGUUUGAGAUGACCAUGAUGGGAGAGUUGAACUUCUUUCUUGGGUUUGAAGUCAAACAAAGAAGAUAA